AGAAUUCGGAGCUGCACACUCCUCCUCCCAGUGCCGCUCCGAUGGAUUGACGACACUCCUCCUCCCAGUCGUCAAUCAUCACAAAUGACGCCCACCGCAUCUUCCUCCCGCGGUGGGCGUUAUUU
rnacentral:sRNA from 1 species